AUUGGAGGGCAAGUCUGGUGCCAGCAGCCGCGGUAAUUCCAGCUCCAAUAGCGUAUAUUAAAGUUGUUGCAGUUAAAAAGCCCGUAGUUGAACUUCAGAGCUGGCCGGGCGGUCCGCCUAACGGUGUGUACUGUCUGGCUGGUUCUUACUUCUUGGUGAGCUGGUAUGCCCUUUACUGGGUGUGCUAGUGAACCAGGACUUUUACCUUGAGAAAAUUAGAGUGUUCAAAGCAGGCAUUUGCUCGAAUACAUUAGCAUGGAAUAAUAGAAUAGGACGUGCGGUUCUAUUUUGUUGGUUUCUAGAGCUGAGGUAAUGAUUAAUAGGGAUAGUUGGGGGUAUUCGUAUUCAAUUGUCAGAGGUGAAAUUCUUGGAUU
rnacentral:rRNA from 1 species